rnacentral:rRNA from 1 species
CCUACGGGUGGCAGCAGUGGGGGAUAUUGCACAAUGGGGGGAACCCUGAUGCAGCGACGCCGCGUGGGUGAAGAAGCGCCUCGGCGCGUAAAGCCCUGUCAGCAGGGAAGAAAAUGACGGUACCCGAAGAAGAAGCCCCGGCUAACUACGUGCCAGCAGCCGCGGUAAUACGUAGGGGGCAAGCGUUAUCCGGAUUUACUGGGUGUAAAGGGGGCGCAGACGGCGUUGCAAGUCAGGAGUGAAAGCCCGGGGCUCAACCCCGGGACUGCACUUGGAACUGCGUGGCUGGAGUGCAGGAGGGGCAGGCGGAAUUCCUGGUGUAGCGGUGAAAUGCGUAGAUAUCAGGAGGAACACCGGUGGCGAAGGCGACCUGCUGGACUGCAACUGACGUUGAGGCCCGAAAGCGUGGGGAGCAAACAGGAUUAGAUACCCUUGUAGUC